CAGUGGAGAAGUGCUCACUCUAUAUGGGGCAAAUGAAAAGAACUAUAGACAAAGAAAUGCCCCCCUCAACUUCCUUUACCUGCCACUGUUGAAGAACCAUGGGGAUUGUAAAACCUUAGGAGAAAAUAUUGCCUUUCCCUGGCAAAGAAAUUCAGAAAGGAAAGUGCAGAAGCUUCUGUACCUAAUGCCUUGUGGUAGGAAACAAUGCUCCCACAGCUGGUGGAUUGUGUAGGAGGUAUCUCUGAGACUAGUGGAACUGUUGUUACUCAGAACUCUGAGGUGAAGAGGGAAGGGUACUAGGGGAAAAGGUACUCUGAUUAAAUAUUUUUUAUGAUAUUGAAAAUUUCUCCAACUUAAAUUUUUAUUUGGUCACUGGCACCACUUGAUGAUCCAUCUUUGCUCUUUCUUAGCCAAAUUGAUGGCUAUGAAUGUUGGUGGCGACUGGUGACAAAGACCAUGUCUACAGGUGCUUAAGACAGACUUAAACUCUUAUGCCCUUCUCUUUCUGACUCCAUUUUCAAAUUUCAAAAUGUGAAGAGUUUUCAAUAUAUUUUUCCUUUUGAUUUUUUCCUCUACUUUGUUAGAUCACUCAAAGAUAUUGAGUGAUAUCUAGUUCAGGUGUCCUCAGAGGAAAAUAAAAAUGCUAGUCUUGUCCA
rnacentral:lncRNA from 1 species